AUUGAACGCUGGCGGCAGGCUUAACACAUGCAAGUCGAGCGGAGAGAGGUAGCUUGCUACUGAUCUUAGCGGCGGACGGGUGAGUAAUGCUUAGGAAUCUGCCUAUUAGUGGGGGACAACAUUUCGAAAGGAAUGCUAAUACCGCAUACGUCCUACGGGAGAAAGCAGGGGAUCUUCGGACCUUGCGCUAAUAGAUGAGCCUAAGUCGGAUUAGCUAGGUGGUGGGGUAAAGGCCUACCAAGGCGACGAUCUGUAGCGGGUCUGAGAGGAUGAUCCGACACACGGGGACUGAGACACGGCCCGGACUCCUACGGGGGGCAGCAGUGGGGAAUAUUGGACAAUGGGCGCAAGCCGGGUCCAGCCAUGCCGCGUGUGUGAAGAAGGCCUUAUGGUUGUAAAGCACUUUAAGCGAGGAGGAGGCUACUUUAGAUAAUACCUAGAGAUAGUGGACGUUACUCGCAGAAUAAGCACCGGGUAACUCUGUGCCAGCAGCCGCCGUAAUAC
rnacentral:rRNA from 1 species